rnacentral:rRNA from 1 species
AUACGGAGGAUCCGAGCGUUAUCCGGAUUUAUUGGGUUUAAAGGGUGCGUAGGUGGUUUGAUAAGUCAGCGGUGAAAGUUUGCAGCUUAACUGUAAAAAUGCCGUUGAAACUGUCGGACUUGAGUGUAAAUGAGGUAGGCGGAAUGCGUGGUGUAGCGGUGAAAUGCAUAGAUAUCACGCAGAACUCCGAUUGCGAAGGCAGCUUACGUAAGCUACAACUGACACUGAAGCACGAAAGGCGUGGGGAAUC